rnacentral:lncRNA from 1 species
CUUGCCCUGGGAACAUCUUGUUGGAACCAGCCCUAUCCUGCAUGGAGCUCAUUCUUUGUGGGUCUUGUGUGAGCGCUGUUACCAAGGGGAGUAACAGCUAACAUCUACUGAGCGCGUGUGCCAGGCACCAUUCUAAGCACUCUUAGCAGCUGCAACUGCCACCUCCUGAAGUCCUGCCUCCAUUCACAGACCACACUCCAUGUGCCUGUCCCAUGCUGCCGUCCUGGGAGUGUCCCACAAGUGCCUGGGUCUUGGUGAAGGCUUGGUGAGUGGUGAGUGUCUGUGGACUUGACUUGUCCUCCACUGGGAUUUACGGUGGAUGUGGUGUGCCCAUGGCGAUGAAGGCCUUGGACUGCUCUGACUUGAACCGGUUGUCCAUCUAUGCCACGGAGAUUCAUUGAGCACCCAUCACACGCUGGACUUGGUGCUGAGCACUUGGGAGCAAAUCACAGACAGGGGUCUUUCUCUCAUAGAGCUUACUGUUGUGGAAGGGAGAUUGGCAUUAAAGAUUUAAUAAAAGUUAAAUGACAGCCGUG